CUCGUGUCUGUGUGAUGACACAAGUGUUGGUAGGGACAUCUGAAUAACCGUGAGGAAUGCCAACAGUCCUGACAGCACGAG
ensembl:snoRNA small nucleolar RNA SNORD74